UGGGGAAUUUUGGACAAUGGACGCAAGUCUGAUCCAGCCAUGCCGCGUGCGGGAAGAAGGCCUUCGGGUUGUAAACCGCUUUUGUCAGGGAAGAAACGAGUUUCUCUAAUACAGGGACUUAAUGACGGUACCUGAAGAAUAAGCACCGGCUAACUACGUGCCAGCAGCCGCGGUAAUACGUAGGGUGCAAGCGUUAAUCGGAAUUACUGGGCGUAAAGCGUGCGCAGGCGGUUAUAUAAGACAGAUGUGAAAUCCCCGGGCUCAACCUGGGAACUGCAUUUGUGACUGUAUAGCUAGAGUACGGCAGAGGGGGAUGGAAUUCCGCGUGUAGCAGUGAAAUGCGUAGAUAUGCGGAGGAACACCGAUGGCGAAGGCAAUCCCCUGGGCCUGUACUGACGCUCAUGCACGAAAGCGUGGGGAGCAAACA
rnacentral:rRNA from 1 species